GUCUUUUCUGAACAGCUUUUCUUGUUUCUUCCCAUUUCUGUAGCUUCCACUAAAGUAUUAGUCAAUGGUUUUCCCAGUGUUUCUGGAAGCAUUAUGGUUAAGAUUCCACUCAGAAGAGCCAUGAUUCCAACAAGCAACUGGAAGAAAUAAACAGUAGGUGUAAAGGCAUGUUCACAGAGCUACAAUUCCCCUGCCACCUGGAAUCUCAAUUCACACUCCAACUCCUGUCUACCUGUACCUGUGUGCUUGUUCCUUCUCUACACAGCCAGACUGGAAUUUCUCAAUAGGGCUCUUUGGCCCAGAGCCACAGAAGUGCACAUCUGUGCUCAGGAGAGCUCUUCAGCAUCUGCUAGCUCUCAACAGGAAUACUUUGCUAAACUCAGUUUCGAAGAACUGUGAGGAGUGCAGGCAUCUACUGACAUUUGCACUGAGAUCACAUUUUGGAUUUGUCCAUGGUGUACACAAUUCCACAGCAGCACCAUAAGUGGUGCAAGGAUCAGGAUAAUGUGGGGUCAGUAGAGAAAUACUCACUUGUUCCAGGAAUAUCUACUCUUUCCAUUCACAUUCCCUUCACACAGACAUUUCUAUUUCUUGUUCAAUGACACCAAUUCCCACUUUGCUUCUCUGAGUACAGAACAGCAUUAAACUCCUGACAGUCCUCCAACACCAGGUUAUAAUGACCUAAUUCUCUCCUGAUAGAAAAGCUUUCACACAGAACAUCCUGCCUGGUCUCAGUGUUUUUCCAUUCUGUGACUGUGAACUUUGAUGCUGUACUAUCAUUACCUUGCCCUGUGCUGAUUCUGAAGUCUGUCCUUUGCUCAAUGCAUUCUUUCCAAGGGUGAGAGAGAACAUUUGGAAUCACUGUGCCUACAUCUCAUACAGAGCUUGAGACAAGAGCUGCCCAGCUACCAUCUGCAGCUAAGCCAGACUUUAAGUCAGGAAGGUGCUUUAAAAUCAGAAUUCCCUACUGUAACCUUGAACAGUGCUAUUUGCCUGCCCAUGCAUCAUGCUGGUUUUGCUUCUCUUCCCUUCCAAAAAAAAGAGGAGUUUGUUUCCUGUAUUCUUUUGAGAAGCAAAAUGCAGUGUUGCUUACCCUCCUUUUUGCUUUGCAAUAAAUAUAGAGGCCAGACCAAAAAAAAAAAAAAAAAAUCAAAAUACUGCUAAAUACUACAAACUACAGUGAAAAUAAAAGUCAUGGUCUUACCAUGAAAGUUUAAAUAAACCCAAUCCUAGCAGUAAUAGGACUAGAGGAAAUGGCACAAACUGAACAAGAUCCUUUUAGACAUGUAUGUGGCAGGAAUGAUACUUAAAAAUAUAUUCCAAAAUAUUAAAAUCUCA